rnacentral:rRNA from 1 species
ACGCACGCUGGCGGCGUGCUUAACCCAUGCCAGUCGAACGGAAAGGCCCUGCUUUUGUGGGGUGCUCGAGUGGCGAACGGGUGAGUAACACGUGAGUAACCUGCCCUUGACUUUGGGAUAACUUCAGGAAACUGGGGCUAAUACCGGAUAGGAGCUCCUGCUGCAUGGUGGGGGUUGGAAAGUUUCGGCGGUUGGGGAUGGACUCGCGGCUUAUCAGCUUGUUGUGGGGUAGUGGCUUACCAAGGCUUUGACGGGUAGCCGGCCUGAGAGGGUGACCGGCCACAUUGGGACUGAGAUACGGCCCAGACUCCUACGGGAGGCAGCAGUGGGGAAUAUUGCACAAUGGGCGGAAGCCUGAUGCAGCAACGCCGCGUGCGGGAUGACGGCCUUCGGGUUGUAAACCGCUUUCGCCUGUGACGAAGCGUGAGUGACGGUAAUGGGUAAAGAAGCACCGGCUAACUACGUG